rnacentral:rRNA from 1 species
GACGUAGGGCGCGAGCGUUGUCCGGAUUUAUUGGGCGUAAAGAGCUCGUAGGCGGUCUGUCGCGUCGGCCCGUGAAAACCUGCGGCUUAACUGUGGGCUUGCGGUCGAUACGGGCAUCACUGGAGUUCGGCAGGGGAGACUGGAAUUCCUGGUGUAGCGGUGAAAUGCGCAGAUAUCAGGAGGAACACCGGUGGCGAAAGGCGGGGUCUCUGGGCCGAUACUGACGCUGAGGAGCGAAAGCGUGGGGAGCGAACAGG